rnacentral:rRNA from 1 species
UAGGGAAUCUUCGGCAAUGGACGGAAGUCUGACCGAGCAACGCCGCGUGAGUGAAGAAGGUUUUCGGAUCGUAAAGCUCUGUUGUUAGAGAAGAACGUUGGUAGGAGUGGAAAAUCUACCAAGUGACGGUAACUAACCAGAAAGGGACGGCUAACUCCGUGCCAGCAGCCGCGGUAAUACGUAGGUCCCGAGCGUUGUCCGGAUUUAUUGGGCGUAAAGCGAGCGCAGGCGGAUCUUUAAGUCUGAAGUUAAAGGCAGUGGCUUAACCAUUGUACGCUUUGGAAACUGGAGGGCUUGAGUGCAGAAGGGGAGAGUGGAAUUCCAUGUGUAGCGGUGAAAUGCGUAGAUAUAUGGAGGAACACCGGUGGCGAAAGCGGCUCUCUGGGCUGUAACUGACGCUGAGGCUCGAAAGCGUGGGGAGCAAACAGG